AACGAACGCUGGCGGCAUGCCUAACACAUGCAAGUCGAACGAGACCUUCGGGUCUAGUGGCGCACGGGUGCGUAACGCGUGGGAACCUGCCCUUAGGUUCGGAAUAACUCCCCGAAAGGGGUGCUAAUACCGGAUAAUGUCUUCGGACCAAAGAUUUAUCGCCUUUGGAUGGGCCCGCGUUGGAUUAGCUAGUUGGUAGGGUAAAAGCCUACCAAGGCGACGAUCCAUAGCUGGUCUGAGAGGAUGAUCAGCCACACUGGGACUGAGACACGGCCCAGACUCCUACGGGAAGCAGCAGUGGGGAAUAUUGGACAAUGGGCGAAAGCCUGAUCCAGCCAUGCCGCGUGAGUGAUGAAGGCCUUAGGGUUGUAAAGCUCUUUUACCCGGGAUGAUAAUGACAGUACCGGGAGAAUAAGCUCCGGCUAACUCCGUG
rnacentral:rRNA from 1 species